rnacentral:rRNA from 1 species
GCAGUUGCUCCCCUACGGGGAUCAACAGCAGGAGCCGCCCUGAACAGGGGGCGUCUCCGAGGAACAACCCUCAUGGUAAAGUUAAUCCAAGUAGGGGAGUGACUGCGUAGUGGCGGACGGGUGAGUAACGCGUGAGCAACCUGCCGUAUAGUGGGGGAUAACACAGGGAAACUUGUGCUAAUACCGCAUGACACACAGAGAUCGCAUGGUUUUUGUGUCAAAGAUUUAUUGCUAUAUGAUGGGCUCGCGUAUGAUUAGACAGUUGGCAGGGUAACGGCCUACCAAAUCAACGAUCAUUAGCCGAACUGAGAGGUUGAACGGCCACAUUGGAACUGAGAAACGGUCCAGACUCCUACGGGAGGCAGCAGUGGGGAAUAUUGGGCAAUGGGCGAAAGCCUGACCCAGCGACGCCGCGUGAGGGAAGAAGGUCUUCGGAUUGUAAACCUCUUUCAGCAGGGAAGAAGAGAUGACGGUACCUGCAGAAGAAGUCACGGCUAACUACGUGCC